AUGCCUCUGGGAGCGUUUUUUUUCUGCUCCAGAAACCAGAUGGACAGGAACGGGACCUGGAAGCACACCGACAGCCGGACAAUGAGCCACAGGGAAGUGAGGCCUACAGACCUGAGGCCUAAGAAGCAGAGACUCCACGUCACCAGGCCCAGGACAAACCACAUGGCGCAAUCCUUCCACAACAAGGCUAAAGGUAGGACCUCCAAUAUGGACGGUGGGGCUCACUAUGGGGAGACUGUUGCUCAAUGUGACCUAGGCCACAGAGAGGAAAAUCCAGAGGGCUCACACAAUAACACUUACACCCACAACUCCUUACCUGAGGAGAGAGGUAGAGUUAAAAGACAAACUCAGAUAAAACAGGUGCUAGAUCCUAAUACAAGAGACCUUGCUAAAAAGUAUUUUAAACUCAUCCAAGCCAUUCAUCAUAAAAACAUUACUGACCGGGCCAUAUCCACCGGCACUCCUCCCGCAGGCAUGAUGAGGCAGGUCAGGAAGCUGUCCGGGUUCAUCAAACCAGCAAGUCCUACAGAGGAAGUUAAAAACAAAAUCACCAUUAACACUAACAAGUGGAUGGAGGAAAACCUGAUCGUUUUACGGGACCACUACGCUAACAUCAUUUCUCAAUAUAGCCUAAUAAAUAGAAACAAUGUUGCACUUCAAGUGGCAGCAAACUGGGCUGAAAAACGGUACAGGGGCAGGCUUGCUCCCACUACAGCCACGACAGUUGAGCGGGUACUGGCCGCAGCAGCAACAGCAGUGCAGAAUCCAGAUCCUCAUUACACUCCUCCUUCUGUCUUAUUGUCAAACCAGCCUUUGCUUUCCAACAGAGAUUCAGAAGAGGAACCACCAACAGUCUCCAAGCCACUGGACGUAAAGAGCAGGGAGCAAUUUCCACCGCUACCCAGGCCCAGUAGGAACUUACAAACUCUCUGUCUGGGCAAUAGGCCCACUCUGCUGCAGCAGGUGAUGGCAGCUCCACAAACUCAAAUCCAGAAUCAGCCACAAGCUGAAUCAGCCACCACAAGCACGGACACACGGUCUAACCAGACCCACUAUGUGCUGCAACAAACCUCCAAACUGACCAGGAGGAAUUUCAAGUCUCAUAAUAGCUCAGCUUUAAAGACUCUCUCCCCUUUAAAGGUGCUGGAGUCUGCUCCCUGCUCUCGACUUCCUCCUCGCCAUCACCGUCCUCCUCCACUUGCUGCCUCCUCCCCUUCGCCUGUCACCAACCUUUCUCCACAGGGCCCUGAUCAGGACCAGUUUUCAAUAUCCCAGCUGACCCUUCACUUUUCAUUAGACUCUCCUCCGGCACCGAGUGUAAUUAAUGAUCCUUCCUUUACAGAACAGACGCCAUAUCACCCCAUUAAGUCCAGUGUCUGUGAUCCCGGAGGGGAAAUUUACCAACCACAGGCAACGAAUCGUAAACAGGGCUUACAGGUACGACAGGCCAGGGACUUAACAAAUGUGGCAACAGUCACCACAGGUGACAUUGACCAGCUUUCCCCAUCCUCUGCUGACCUCUGUCCUCCAGGUCACUCAGCCGUGCCAUCCGCCCCCCUGCCAGGGAGCCAGCCGCCCAGACAUCUUGAUCUCUCCAGGCUAAAAUUAAAAAACAAAGAGGUGGGAGGAAAAAGGACGAGAAAAUGGAAAAACAUCCAAGUUGAACAAACUGGACAAAUCCACUCUGAUACCUCCAAAAACACCUCGGUAGCAGUGCGGCUGGAGUCCUCACGGCAGGGGCACUUUGGGCGGGCUGAGGACGAGGAAUGGGAGGAUUUUACGUCAGGCAGUGAGAGAGAACAGAACCGUACCUUAUUGUUUUUUCCCACCAGCCACAAGGCCCGGCCUUCACGCAAGCUGGAGGACUGGCACAUUAGGGGUAAAAAACCUGUACUGAUAUUGGGGGACUCGAACCUUAACAGGAUCCUUGAGUUUAUGCACCCAGAGGUACAAAUCGACAGCUACCCUGGUGCCAAUUUCUACCACUUUUGGAAAGUGGUACAGAAAACUCCAGCACACCCCUCUGUCAAGGUUGUGGUCUUCUCAGUGGGACUCAAUAAUAGGGACCAGGACCCUCAGAAAACAUCAAUAAAACAACUUAGGGCGUUGUAUAGGGCAUCCAGAGUGGCAUUUCCAAAUGCCAGCAUUUUUUUCCCCCUCAUUAACUACUCGCCAUCCCUCACGCAGAUACAGAAACAAAACCUGGACACCAUUAAUACGUAUAUUACUAACUACUUACCUUCAUUGCCUAGUAUCCCACAGGACCGGUUCAGAACCAGAGCAGAUAACAUCCAUUGGACCACGGCCACAGCACACAGCAUCUUCGACCUCUGGUGUCAAAGGCUGAGCUUAAAUUUACAGUAG
ensembl:lncRNA